rfam:Agrilus planipennis Contig46035, whole genome shotgun sequence.
UCUCUCGUAGCUUACUGGUUAGAGCAUUGGUGCGUAAAGCCAAAGGUCCAGGGUUCGAAUCCCAGCGAGGGUG